rnacentral:rRNA from 1 species
AGUGGAUGGGGAACAACCUGGUUGUGCGUGUGUAAAGGUAGUGCCAAGAAAAGCGGUGAUCAUGAUGAAAAUCAAUUCCCGGUACCCGAAACCGACACAGGUGGGCAAGUAGAGAAUACUAAGGGGCGCGAGGCAACUCUCUCCAAGGAACUCGGCAAAAUGACCCCGUAACUUAGGGAGAAGGGGUGCCACCGAGAGGUGGUCAGUGAAGAGGCCCAGGCGACUGUUUAGCAAAAACAUAGGUCUCUGCAAACUCGAAAGAGGAGGUAUAGGGGCUGACGCCUGCCCAGUGCCGGAAGGUUAAAGAAGUUGGUCAGUCUUAGGAUGAAGCUAGCGACUGAAGCCCCGGUGAACGGCGGCCGUAACUAUAACGGUCCUAAGGUAGCGAAAUUCCUUGUCGGGUAAGUUCCGACCCGCACGAAAGGCGUAACGAUCUGGGCGCUGUCUCGGAGAGAGGCUCGGCGAAAUAGGAUUGUCUGUGAAGAUACGGACUACCUGCAUUUGGACAGAAAGACCCUAUGAAGCUUUACUAUAGCUUGGAAUUGUGUUCGGGCUUCCUGUGCGCAGGAUAGGUGGGAGGCGUAGAAGGUAUUCUUGUGGGGAUACUGGAGCCAACGGUGAGAUACCACUCUCAGGAGGCUAGAAUUCUAACUUAAUUAAGGACAGUUUCAGGUGGGUAGUUUGACUGGGGCGGUCGCCUCCAAAAAGGUAACGGAGGCGUACAAAGGUUCCCUCAGACUGGUUGGAAAUCAGUCGCAGAGUGCAAAGGCAGAAGGGAGCUUGACUGCGAGAAGUACAGUUCGAGCAGGGUGGAAACACGGUCUUAGUGAUCCGACGGUGCUGUGUGGAAGGGCCGUCGCUCAACGGAUAAAAGUUACUCUAGGAUAACAGGCUGAUCUCCCCCAAGAGUUCACAUCGACGGGGAGGUUUGGCACCUCGAUGUCGGCUCAUCGCAACCUGGGGCGGAAGUACGUCCCAAGGGUUGGGCUGUUCGCCCAUUAAAGCGGUACGUGAGCUGGGUUCAGAACGUCGUGAGACAGUUCGGUCCAUAUCCGAUGUAGGCGUGAGAAUAUUGAGAGGAGCCUUCCUUAGUACGAGAGGACCGGGAAGGACGCACCGCUGGUGUACCUGUUAUGAUGCCAAUCGUAAACGCAGGGUAGCCAAGUGCGGAGAGGAUAACCGCUGAAAGCAUCUAAGUGGGAAGCCCACCUCAAGAUGAGUAUUCUGGUGUAAGGUCACGGGAAGACGACCCGUAAAUAGGCACGAGGUGGAAGUGCAGAGAUGUAUGAAGCCGAAGUGUACUAAUAGACCGUCGGCUUGAUC